AGUGAACGCUGGCGGUAGGCCUAACACAUGCAAGUCGAACGGCAGCACAGUAAGAGCUUGCUCUUACGGGUGGCGAGUGGCGGACGGGUGAGGAAUACAUCGGAAUCUACUUUUUCGUGGGGGAUAACGUAGGGAAACUUACGCUAAUACCGCAUACGACCUACGGGUGAAAGCAGGGGAUCUUCGGACCUUGCGCGAUUGAAUGAGCCGAUGUCGGAUUAGCUAGUUGGCGGGGUAAAGGCCCACCAAGGCGACGAUCCGUAGCUGGUCUGAGAGGAUGAGCAGCCACACUGAAACUGAGACACGGUCCAGACUCCUACGGGAGGCAGCAGUGGGGAAUAUUGGAAAAUGGGCGCAAGCCUGAUCCAGCCGUACCGCGUGGGUGAAGAAGGCCUUCGGGUUGUAAAGCCCUUUUGUUGGGAAAGAAAAGCAGCAGGUUAAUACCCCGCUGUUCUGACGGUACCCAAAGAAUAAGCACCGGCUAACUUCGU
rnacentral:rRNA from 1 species